rnacentral:rRNA from 1 species
CCUACGGGUGGCAGCAGUGAGGAAUAUUGGUCAAUGGGCGGGAGCCUGAACCAGCCAAGCCGCGUGAGGGAAGAAGGUACAGCGUAUCGUAAACCUCUUUUGUCAGGGAACAAAGGCGGGGACUAGUCCCCGGAUGAGGGUACCUGAAGAAAAAGCAUCGGCUAACUCCGUGCCAGCAGCCGCGGUAAUACGUAGGUGGCGAGCGUUAUCCGGAAUGAUUGGGCGUAAAGGGUGCGUAGGCGGCCUGCUAAGUCUGGAGUGAAAGGUACCGGCUCAACCGGUACAGGCUCUGGAAACUGGCGGGCUAGAGAGCAGGAGAGGGCGGUGGAACUCCAUGUGUAGCGGUAAAAUGCGUAGAUAUAUGGAAGAACACCAGUGGCGAAGGCGGCCGCCUGGCCUGUUACUGACGCUGAGGCACGAAAGCGUGGGGAGCAAAUAGGAUUAGAUACCCUAGUAGUC